rnacentral:rRNA from 1 species
CCUACGGGUGGCAGCAGUGAGGAAUAUUGGUCAAUGGACGCAAGUCUGAACCAGCCAAGUAGCGUGCAGGAUGACGGCCCUCCGGGUUGUAAACUGCUUUUAGUUGGGAAUAAAAGGGGGCUCGUGAGCCCCGUAUUGUAUGUACCAUCAGAAAAAGGACCGGCUAAUUCCGUGCCAGCAGCCGCGGUAAUACGGAAGGUCCGGGCGUUAUCCGGAUUUAUUGGGUUUAAAGGGAGCGUAGGCGGUCCGUUAAGUCAGCGGUAAAAUUGCGGGGCUCAACCCCGUCGAGCCGUUGAAACUGGCAGACUUGAGUUGGCGAGAAGUACGCGGAAUGCGCGGUGUAGCGGUGAAAUGCAUAGAUAUCGCGCAGAACUCCGAUUGCGAAGGCAGCGUACCGGCGCCAGACUGACGCUGAGGCACGAAAGCGUGGGGAUCGAACAGGAUUAGAUACCCCAGUAGUC